GCCUCGCAUCUGGCCGGCCGAGCGCGCUCUUCCUGCACCCGGCCAGCCCUGCAGCCGUGCAGGAGCUCAGCCGCCUCCCCUCCGCCGCACACACGCCCUUCUUCCCACUCUGUCUCCACGAACGGUUCCUAGAAAUGCGGCCAGGUUCACUCCUCGGUGCCCUGCACUUGUAAACCAAGAAAAAGUGCCAGACAUCAAUUCUAUCUGGCAGCCAUCAAAAGACAUCAGACCACAAAAACUAUACAUUCCUGGACCUCAGGAGGAGCUCUACAGGGAGCCGCAGGAGCCAACCCAAAUGGCUGGGAUACAGCUGCCUCUGCAGUCCACAAUGCAGGCAACUGCAAGUCAUCAACCACUGCUCCCCAGAAUAGGCAGCAGAAAAACAAAGCAGAAUGAAAAACCAAAAGAGUCCUAGGAAGAAUAUGUGGGAAUUUGGGACCAAACGGCGGAAAGAAGGGGUUCAGGCACAGUGUGUAGGACAGAGGAUGCUGGUUUUUCACUGCACUUUUCCAUGCUGGUUGAUUUUUGAGAGACCGCACUACAUGUUUUCCCUUGGUGAAAGUUUAAGAGAUCCCAGGAAUUCCACCUGUGGAUCCCUCGGAAGACUGGGGAUUGGAUUAAGAAGCCUUGAUCUGGAGUCACAUCCCCCAGAGCAGCCUCCACACUGCUGUCCACCAAAUCUGACGCUGCUACUCAAGCUCUGCAACCUUCGAUGGCUCCCUGCCCUCCCAGGUAAAGGACAAACUGGCCCUGUUCUCACCCGGUUUAUCAGCCAGGCCAGCUCUUUUCCUAAAUCAUUAUGGACUGCAAAACUGUACUGAGAAAAAUAAAAAUUAAAAAUCAGUCAAUCUCUUCUCAAAAAACUAAGACUACAGGUUCCAUUUGACCCAGCUAUUCCUCUUCUUGGUAUCUUCCUGAAAGAAUUAAAAGCAUCCUACCACACCGAUAUAUGCACACCCAUGUUUACAGAAGCACAGUGUGUAAUAGCUAAAUCUUGGAAAAAAACCCAAUUGCCCAUCAACUGACGAGUUGAUAAAGAAGAUGUGGGGUUUUCUUAUACAAUGGAGUACUACUCUGCCAUAAAGAAAGAUGAGCUUCAGACAUGUAUAGCUAAAUGGAUGGACCUUGAGACAUACUCUUAAGUGAAAUAAAUUAGACACACUUUUAAAUACCGAAUUGUUGCCAGGCAUGGUGGUUCAUACCUGUAAUCCCAGCACUUGGGAGGCUGAGGCAGGAGGAUUGCCGAGAGUUCAAGGACAGCCUGGGCUACAUAGUGAGUCCAGUCUGAACUACACAGCAUCAUUUCUCUGCUGCGAGAAACCAAAAGUGGAAAUAAGGACUAAAAUGUAUAAUAGAUAUUGAGAAAUGGGAAAAUGGGAAGAAAAUGUUCAAAUGGGAAGGGGAACAAGGGAGGAGGGAGGGAGAACGGAAGGAAGGGACCCAAAAAAAGUGAAAAUAGAAGGAAAAAUGGAAACAAUGCUUUUGUACAUAGGGAGGGGAGGGGCUUGAGGGGGGGAUGGGAUAAAAUAAAAUUUACUUUAAAAAAAUCAAUCAAUCUCAGGCCCAAAUCCUCUUCCUCCUCAACAGGGCACAGUGGUACACACACGUGUAAUCCCAGCACUCGGGGAGGCUGAGGCAGGAGGAUCACAAGUUUGAGGCCAGCUGGGUAACAUAGCUCAGGGAGAAGGCCCUCCCUGGGUUCAAUCGUCAGCACCACAAAAAUAAAUAAAUAAAUAAAUAACAAUAAAUAAAUUUAAAAAUCUUUGUCCUCUCUGGUGCCUUCCUCUAGCGGACCCAGGUGUUUCUGUCUUGCAUCCUGGUCUUCCCAGGCGGCCACCCGAGUGUCCCCAAGUCCUCAACCGCUCCAGUCCCUUUGAUCACAAGGCACAGCACAUGGGCACAGAACCUGCGUCCUCCUGUGUGCUGAAGACCAGGUCAUGGCCACAGGAUAACUCAGUUCCUUGAAUCCAGGGACUCAAAACCCAUGCACGGGGUCCAACUGAAC
rnacentral:lncRNA from 1 species